CACCACCGGCGACCCACCGGUCGCGCCUCCUCGACACCGUCGUACGGAUGUAAGUUUUCUCAUUUCCAUCUUCUUUCCAACAUUCAUCCCUGAAUGGCUAAAUUGACAUGACUCCUUUUCUUGGAAAUUGUAGGCUCACUUUGAGGCCGCCUACGCGGCCGCUUAUGAGAAGUAUUUGACGGUUGUAGCAGAGUGGGACCUCAAGAGAGCGGCUUGGGAAGAGUACCAGGAGGCGACGAGUCGUGCGGUCAGGACGUUCUUCCUGACUGGAGAGAGGAUCGCACUUCCGGCCGAGGAGCCAGCUAGGCCGGGGCCGACUCCAGUGUGCCCAUCGAGGGAAGCUUUCGCGGCCACAUACUACGCACGGACUCCGGGCACGGGAAGUUCGCGGAACCGACCCUCUCCUGGUUCGUCGCGCGAGGGCACACCGAUGCACCCCGGCCGCCAUUCUCCCGGUGCUUCAGGGUUUUCACCUGCUGGCGAUGGUUCAGGCCAUGGUUCUACUUCGGUCUACCUCGACAAAGGCCGGACGCCUGAAUUUACGAGUCGGGAACUUGGUUGGACCCCCUGAUCUUAGUUUCCCUUAGCUAGGUGUCUAGCGGGUGUGCGUCGAUCGUGUGUGCCAUGUGUCGACGAUGUAUGAUGAUUGUGUGUGCUACAUGACACAUAUUUGUAUCACGAUGAUGUUGUUGCUACAUUUGAUGAUGAUUAUGUGUUGUGCAACAUUUGUGAUGCAUUUGAAUGUAUAUUACUGCUAUA